rnacentral:lncRNA from 1 species
AAUAUUUCCUUCAAUAUAUUUCUCAAUAUUUCCUUCAAUAUAUUUUCCAAUAAUUCCUUCAUCUAUAAUAUUUGUUUCAAUUUUUCAAUAAUUUCCUUCAAUAUUUUUUCAAUAAUUUCCUUCAAUAUUUCCUUCAUUUUUUUUCAAAAAAAAUGGCCUCAUCUGCAAUGAAAGGUAGGGCUUGGACCCGAAAAGAAGAUGAAGCUCUUUGCAAGACUUAUAGAUGGGUCUCAGAAGAUAGUGUGAGGGGGA